UGAGUGCGAGUUCCUGAGGUGGUGCUGUUCUGUUCGAAUCACGGAGCACAAACACCUAAUGCUAGGAGGGCAUCUGGAUCUACCGCAUCCCCUGCGCUUAGUUACUAGGUUGGGUGAGUGAGGGGUGUCAAGGGGCAGGUCAUCCAGAUGGACACUAGAAUUCUGGUUUCCCGGCCCACAAAGCAGCGCACACUUCCUCUAUUAUUCCAGAAUCAACCAAAGCCAUCGGAGGGUUCAGAGUGAAUGCUAUUGGUCAGGUGACUCUCCUCCACAUGGUGACUCCAGGGUCCAGCAUCUGGCCAUUUCAUGACCCUGCCGUCUUCAAGGGCAGUCACUGCGGAAAGAGGAUAAAAAUAAAAUGGGGGCACACGGCCACUUCCGUCUACAUUCCAUUGACCAGAACCAGUCCGUGGCCCCACCCAGGUGCAAAGGUGCUGUCACCAUCGUUGUCCUCAACACCCAGAAGAAAGUGAAAUAUUGGGUGAACACAUGGGCAACAACUUCCGUGCAUGGACUUUAUAGUAAUUACCUCAUUUAUAUCUAGGAGGCGGGUGCUAUUAUUACCAUUUUUUUUUCCAGUGAAGAUCCCGCAGAAGGUCACAGAUGUGGGGUGCCACGCAGAGAUUCCAUCUCAGAAAAUAGGAGGCCGUUUCCUGUUCACAGGCAUUAAGAACGGUGCUAAGAGGUAAUGUCAAACAUGAUAAAAUGUUACCAGGACAAGAUGGUGAUUUUUUGCAAGCCUGUGACGUGGGAAAUCUAGGUCUAUUACAAAUGAGGAAUUUCCAGAAUGUGCUUUUAAAAGUUUUUCAGACUAAGUCAAGUGCUGGGGGUGCUCUGGGUGACAGGGAGACAUCAUCACAGCCAGCUGGGAAAGCAUUGGCCAGCCACAAUUUUUCUGUGAGCCUGAGGGUAAUCUAACCCAUUCAUUCAUUCAUUCAUUCAUUCUCUUGAGCUUCUCUACCAUGGCAGACACUGUGGUUGAUAAUGGAAGAAUAGACUUCACCCGGCCUCCCCAUUUCUACCCUUGUUCCCUCCAAUCCUCAAUCUGUUUUCUUCCCAUGUAAAAGUCAGAAUCACCCUUUACUUUUUUUCUGAAAAAUGUUUAGUGUUUAUUUACUUUUGAGAGACAGAGACAGAGCACAAGCAGGGGAGGGGCAGAGAGAGAGGGAGACACAGAAUCCGAAGCAGGCUCCAGGCUCUGAACUAUGAGCACAGAGCCCGACGCAGGAUUCAAACUCCCGAAUGGUGAGAUCAUGACUUGAAGAUCAUGAAGUCGGAUGCUUCACCUGCAGAGCCACCCAGGUGAAGAAUCGCCCUUUAAAAAAACAAAUCAAAUAAGUUCACUUGCCCACGAAACAACGUGUAGUAGCUUCUGUUGCAUUUUAGAAUAGCCAACAGUCUGGUGGCCUGCGAGAUGCAGCCUGACCCGGCCUGACCUCCCACGGACCCUGUCCUUACCUGGUCUCUUUCCAGUCUCACUGGUUCUUACCAGCUUCCAUUGCACGGGGCCUCCUAGCGCCUUACGCAGACCACGCUCUUGCCGCGACAGGACUUUUACACUUGCUGGGCCUCCCAAGGAACUGUACUUGGCCCAGUUCAUCAGGGCCUGGAUCUUUCUUUUCCUUUCUGUCUCAGCUUAAAUUGUACCUCCUUUGGGAGCCCUUUUCUGAUCACCCAUUUGAAGGUUCUUGACAUCCCCCUUGAUUCUGUACUAUAUCCCCCAUUUUUUAAUUGCUGCCCAGAAGUUAUCCCAAUCUGAAAUAGUUUGCUUGUUUAUUUGUUUGUUUUCUUAUUCAUUGACUAUCUCCCCGAUUGGAAUGUAAGCUGUUUUUUCUUUUUCACCAGGAAACAGGGCAACAAAGAAUAUGUAGAUAAAGCCCUGUCUGUAAGACGGUCAGUUUAGUGAGAGAGAAAAAUGUUCCGAGACACGACCCAAAUACAGGGUGAUAAUGACGGUGUCAGAGGGAAACAGGACACAAUGGAAGUCCUUGAGCCUCCCGGACUUGGUGGUCAGGGAGGGCUUUAUCAAUAAGGUGAAUUCCGAGCUGGACCUUGAACUUGAGCUUGAAGUGAUUUGUGGAUGGCAGAUGCAGUAAAGAGCUUUUCAGCAUUUUGAAUAAUCAAGAAAUCUUUUUGUGUGGUUGAAGUACGUUGUGUAUAAGAUGAAGGGGGGGGGGCGAUGUGAAUCGUGGGCAGCUGUGGCCAGAUAUGAGACACUGUGGGAUGAUGGAAGCUGGGGAGAGUAUCAACCACCCCAAAUACCUCGAAUCUAGUGAAAACGUGUAUCCCUUGCGCUGCUGGCACUCGGCAAGAGAGUGACGCGUCUGUGGAGAAGCAUCUUUUCAGUGUGCUUUUGCGGGGGAGGUAUCCAUUUAGCUACAGUUAAUUUCUUGCCCUCAGUAUUGUCCCCAAUUACAUCCUUCACAUGACUUCAAGCCUAUCUGUGUUUGGCUUGGAUACCUUCGAGCUACUUGGAAGAAAAAAGAUGAGAAAAACAUCACAUUAUGAUAGUCCUCAUUAAUGUCAUUCAAACACAGCUUUUGAUGAAGACUCACACUACCGCUACUGUUUGAUUAAGGGCUGUUUAAAGUGACAGGAUGGUGGCAUCCGCCGGUAGAAAAGAAGGACCCUGUGGGCUUCCAGAAAGCUGGCUUGGACGUGCUGCGUUAUAGAGGCUUGCGUGAACUACAGUGGGAGUGCAGAGCUGGUCCUGAGGUGUGUGUGUGUGUGUGUGUGUGUGUUCCCAGGUGUGUUUUCACCUGGGAAGACCAAACAUGGUACAACAGAAUGGGUCUGUACCCAAAUAAGACACUGGAAGGACAAAAAGGCGUGCACAUGAUUUUAUUUGGUAUUGUCUCCUAUUAGCACUAAUGGGUGUCAUUCUGCUUUUUUAUUAAAGCCAUUUGGUCAAACUGGUUUGUUUUCUGCCGUUGCAAGUAAAGAAGCUAGUUAGGGAGAGAAAGAGUGUAGCACAAUGGUGUGGGGGUGAAUUUGGGUCAGACAGACCUGGCUUUGCUUCUUGCUUCUGUCCCACUUCCAAAUUAUAUAAUUUUGGUCGUAUUACAUAACCUCCCUGAGCUCUGGUCUCUCCUCUAUAAAACUGGAAUAAUAAUUCCUAUCACAGAGGAUUAUUUAAAACAUUGAAGAGACGGUACAUACAAGAUGCUGCCUAUUGUGUCUAGAACGUAACACACAUCAAUAUAGGCUAAGGCAUUAUUUAUUGUUAUUAUUGUUAUUUGUCUCUGCUCCUAUCACUACUGAUUUCUGUGUGCUUCCUGGGCUACAAACUGUAGGCAGGAAGUACUCAUGUCUAAUUCCUUUUUAUCUACCAUCACAGCACAAUGACUAGCACAUAAAUAGCCCUUGAUAGAUAUUCACAAAGUUAUUUUUAAUUACUAAUACAUGAUUUUGAUGGAUUCAUAGUUUCUUCAUAGUGUUAAUUAUCAUGAAAUCAUUUGUCCAAGAAGCAUUUGACUAAAUUCUGUUCUCCUUUUUUAAAAAAAUAUUUAUUUAUUUUUGAGAGAGAGAGGAGAGAGAGAGAGGCAGUGCAUGAGCGGGGGAGGGACAGAAAGAGAGGGAGACCCAGAAUCCGAAGCAGGCACCAGGCUCCGAGCUGUCAGCACAGAGCCCGACUCAGGGCUUGAACUCAGGAACCGUGAGAUCAUGACCUGAGCUGAAGUCAGAUGCUUAACUGACUGAGCCACCCAGGUGCCCCCUUUUUUCCUCUUGUACUCUGUCUUCAGUGGGUUUCAGCCAACCCCUUAAGGGAAGAAGGAAGACACAGGGAAACAGUAUUUUGACGGGGCUCUGGGACCAGGCAGAGCUGGAUCGGAACAACUGUAACGGCUCCGUAGACUCACGUUUUUCAUCUGUAGAAUGAGGCUAGUAUUUACAGUGAUAGUAACUAUGACAAUGAAUAUCUCACAGGUUUGUGGUGCUAAGCGUUUAAUUGGUAUCCUUCAACUGGUUCUCACAAGCACCUUGGGAGGGAGGUGUUAGAAUCACGUGUUAAACUGUCUACUGUGGAGGAAAUGGGGACUGACCCAGAUUAGAUGAGUGAAGCUCCCUGGCUCAUGGGACAGGCCCAAAGACAAUUUGUUCCCCCUUCUCCCUUCCUCUGUCCCAUUGGGCACUGACGUGCACGCAGGUCUCGGCCACACAGCUGCCAAGGGCUUGGUG